rnacentral:lncRNA from 1 species
CUGAGAAUGCCAGUGUCUCCCAGGCCACCCACUUUCCUGGAGAAUUUUGAGAAUGUCUUUUGUCCCAGCCCCACAUAGAGAAGAAUCCUACCAGGCAAUACCAAGGCCUCCAGCCCCCACGCGCAUGCUAGGCCUCCUUAUCCGGGUCAGGACGAACCAGAGGAGGCCUACGGGGAGAAAUAAGGAGACAGAGGGACAACGCAUAGAGAGGAGCAACAGAGAGUUGGGGGCAGAGUCAGGGAGAUGCGGGAUGCGCCCUCGGGAGCAAGGUCGCCCAAGCCGUAUAGGAGGGGAAGGGAGGACGGAUCGCGCAGGCUCUGACAGCCCAGCCCAGCCCCGCGAGGCUCCCAGGUUUCCUGUCUGUUUCUCCUCCCAGCUCCUCUUCCUCUCUUGGGAAAUUUCUCCCCAGAGCCUCUCCUGUGCCAGCCUGUCUCUGCUUCUGUAUGUAUUUCUUCCUCUGCCCGGUGUCGGCGACUGUCCGUGGGUCUCUCCAUCUCGCGUCUGUCUCUGGUCUCCAGUUCAGCCUCCCGGCCUGGCCCUCUGGGUGGACGGUGCUCCUGGCGCCCCUCCCCGGGCAGCACUAUUGGCGGAGAGGUGACGAGAAGGCGGUGUCUAGCCGCCCUCCGAGGGCGGGAUUAGUCGCG